UAAGACUGAUGGCGACCGGCGCACGGAUGAGUAACACGUAUCCAACCUGCCUUAUACUCCCGGACAGCCUUCUGAAAGGAAGAUUAAUACGGGAUGGUAUCACGAGCCAGCAUUUUCUCGUGAUUAAAGAACUUCGGUAUAAGAUGGGGAUGCGUUCCAUUAGAUAGUAGGCGGGGUAACGGCCCACCUAGUCUACGAUGGAUAGGGGUUCUGAGAGGAAGGUCCCCCACAUUGGAACUGAGACACGGUCCAAACUCCUACGGGAGGCAGCAGUGAGGAAUAUUGGUCAAUGGGCGCGAGCCUGAACCAGCCAAGUAGCGUGAAGGAUGACUGCCCUACGGGUUGUAAACUUCUUUUAUAAAGGAAUAAAGUGAGGCACGUGUGCCUUUUUGUAUGUACUUUAUGAAUAAGGAUCGGCUAACUCCGUGCCAGCAGCCGCGGUAAUACGGAGGAUCCGAGCGUUAUCCGGAUUUAUUGGGUUUAAAGGGAGCGUAGAUGGGUUGUUAAGUCAGUUGUGAAAGUUUGCGGCUCAACCGUAAAAUUGCAAUUGAUACUGGCAGCCUUGAGUACAGUUGAGGUAGGCGGAAUUCGUGGUGUAGCGGUGAAAUGCUUAGAUAUCACGAAGAACUCCGAUUGCGAAGGCAGCCUACUAAACUGCCACUGACAUUGAUGCUCGAAAGUGUGGGUAUCAAACAGG
rnacentral:rRNA from 1 species